AUUGAACGCUGGCGGCAUGCCUUACACAUGCAAGUCGAACGGCAGCACGGGAGCAAUCCUGGUGGCGAGUGGCGAACGGGUGAGUAAUACAUCGGAACGUGCCCAAUCGUGGGGGAUAACGCAGCGAAAGCUGUGCUAAUACCGCAUACGAUCUACGGAUGAAAGCAGGGGAUCGCAAGACCUUGCGCGAAUGGAGCGGCCGAUGGCAGAUUAGGUAGUUGGUGAGGUAAAGGCUCACCAAGCCGUCGAUCUGUAGCUGGUCUGAGAGGACGACCAGCCACACUGGGACUGAGACACGGCCCAGACUCCUACGGGAGGCAGCAGUGGGGAAUUUUGGACAAUGGGCGAAAGCCUGAUCCAGCCAUGCCGCGUGCAGGAUGAAGGCCUUCGGGUUGUAAACUGCUUUUGUACGGAACGAAACGGCCUUUUCUAAUAGAGAGGGCUAAUGACGGUACCGUAAGAAUAAGCACCGGCUAACUACGUGCCAGCAGCCGCGGUAAUACGUAGGGUGCAAGCGUUAAUCGGAAUUACUGGGCGUAAAGCGUGCGCAGGCGGUUAUGUAAGACAGUUGUGAAAUCCCCGGGCUCAACCUGGGAACUGCAUCUGUGACUGCAUAGCUAGAGUACGGUAGAGGGGGAUGGAAUUCCGCGUGUAGCAGUGAAAUGCGUAGAUAUGCGGAGGAACACCGAUGGCGAAGGCAAUCCCCUGGACCUGUACUGACGCUCAUGCACGAAAGCGUGGGGAGCAAACAGG
rnacentral:rRNA from 1 species